ACCGUGUGUUAACGAGAUAUUGAUCGCGUUUUUACCGCGCUUUGACGAAGCACUGACCGUGUUCUUACGACCAUUACGACCAAACCAGACUCUAGUUUUUGCAAAAAGACAAGAUUAAAUGAUGGAUAGAUAAUGCUCUAAAGGGGCACUUGCAUUUCCAGUUGCGCUACCGGUUUUUAUUCUGUCCGAUGGAUUUUUGUCGAGACACUUGAAAUAUAGGUCACCAAGCUGAAAGUAAGCUUUGGCUUCACCAAACAAGGUAAGUUUUUUUUUACCGUAACAUGAUUGUUGCUCAUGAUACAGUAAGGUAAAUAAGAUUACACUCAGGAUUACCCACACUAGGAUUAUACAUGGUCAAGGCUGGAUUCAGUUCGUGGAUCUUCUGCUGGGUUGCAUCCUCUCUCAUUAGUGAAAAUACAACGUCAACGAGAACUUGCUCAUCAACAAUAGAUUUUUACUCUAAGACAAAGGCAGUGAACUCUAUUUAUAUCUGGAGUGAGAACUUGGUUGCUGAAAGUGAAGCCAAAGAUGGCGGAAAUUGACGUCCAGUGCCAGUCCUUUCUAUUGUUUUUGUCCGCGCGGUCAACACAAAUUGACGUCCAGUGCCAGUUCCUUUCUAUUGUUUUUCG